rnacentral:rRNA from 1 species
UACGUAGGGUGCGAGCGUUAAUCGGAAUUACUGGGCGUAAAGCGUGCGCAGGCGGUUUGUAAGCCAGAUGUGAAAUCCCCGGGCUUAACCUGGGAAUGGCAUUUGGGACUGCAAGGCUUGAGUGCGGCAGAGGAGACUGGAAUUCCUGGUGUAGCAGUGAAAUGCGUAGAUAUCAGGAGGAACACCGAUGCGAAGGCAGGUCUCUGGGCUGACACUGACGCUCAUGCACGAAAGCGUGGGGAGCAAACAGG